rnacentral:rRNA from 1 species
AUACGAAGGGGGCUAGCGUUGUUCGGAAUUACUGGGCGUAAAGCGCGCGUAGGCGGAUUGGUCAGUUAGGGGUGAAAUCCCAGGGCUUAACCCUGGAACUGCCUCUAAUACUGCCAGUCUUGAGUUCGGGAGAGGUGAGUGGAAUUCCUAGUGUAGAGGUGAAAUUCGUAGAUAUUAGGAAGAACACCAGUGGCGAAGGCGGCUCACUGGCCCGAUUCUGACGCUGAGGCGCGAAAGCGUGGGGAGCAAACAGGAUUAGAUACCCCAGUAGUCC